GACGAACGCUGGCGGCGUGCUUAACACAUGCAAGUCGAACGAAGUGGCGAACGGGUGAGUAACGCGUAAGAAACCUGCCCUUCAGAGGGGGACAACAGUUGGAAACGACUGCUAAUACCGCAUACGGAAGGAGGGGAUUGCGUCGGAAUUGGUAGUUGGAGGGGUAACGGCCCACCAGGGCGAUGAUCAGUAGCCGGGCUGAGAGGAUGAACGGCCACAUUGGGACUGAGACACGGCCCAGACUCCUACGGGAGGCAGCAGUGGGGAAUCUUCCGCAAUGGACGGAAGUCUGACGGAGCAACUCCGCGUGAGUGAUGACGGCCUUCGGGUUUUAAAGCUCUGUUAAUCGGGACGCGGUACCGGAAUAGAAAGCCACGGCUAACUACGUGCCAGCAGCCGCGGUAAUAC
rnacentral:rRNA from 1 species